rnacentral:rRNA from 1 species
UACGUAGGGUGCAAGCGUUGUCCGGAAUUAUUGGGUGCGUAAAGAGCUCGUAGGCGGUUUGUCGCGUCGAAAUGUGAAACCCGGGGCUCCGAACCCUCGAAUGCCGGUGGAUACUGUCGGGCUAGAGUGCGGAAGAGGCGAGUGGAAUUCCUGGUGUAGCGGUGAAAUGACGCAGAUAUCAGGAGGAACACCAAUUGCGAAGGCAGACUCGCUGGGACGUUACUGACGCUGAGACGCGAAAGCGUGGGGAAGCAAACAGGG